rnacentral:rRNA from 1 species
CCUGGCUCAGAACGAACGCUGGCGGCAUGCCUAACACAUGCAAGUCGAACGAAGUCUUCGGACUUAGUGGCGCACGGGUGCGUAACGCGUGGGAAUCUGCCUUUGGGUUCGGAAUAACAGUGAGAAAUUACUGCUAAUACCGGAUGAUGUCUUCGGACCAAAGAUUUAUCGCCCAAAGAUGAGCCCGCGUAAGAUUAGCUAGUUGGUGAGGUAAAGGCUCACCAAGGCGACGAUCUUUAGCUGGUCUGAGAGGAUGAUCAGCCACACUGGGACUGAGACACGGCCCAGACUCCUACGGGAGGCAGCAGUGGGGAAUAUUGGACAAUGGGCGAAAGCCUGAUCCAGCAAUGCCGCGUGAGUGAUGAAGGUCCUUAGGUUGUAAAGCUCUUUUACCAGGGAUGAUAAUGACAGUACCUGGAGAAUAA